CAGCGCAUCCUUCGGGAUGAGCGGCGGACGGGUGAGUAACGCGUGGGAAUGUGCCCUUCUCUACGGAAUAGCCACUGGAAACGGUGAGUAAUACCGUAUACGCCCUCAGGGGGAAAGAUUUAUCGGAGAAGGAUCAGCCCGCGUUAGAUUAGGUAGUUGGUGGGGUAACGGCCUACCAAGCCUACGAUCUAUAGCUGGUUUUAGAGGAUGAUCAGCCACACUGGGACUGAGACACGGCCCAGACUCCUACGGGAGGCAGCAGUAGGGAAUCUUGGACAAUGGGGGCAACCCUGAUCCAGCCAUGCCGCGUGAGUGAAGAAGGCCCUAGGGUCGUAAAGCUCUUUCGCCUGUGAUGAUAAUGACAGUAGCAGGUAAAGAAACCCCGGCUAACUCCGUGCCAGCAGCCGCGGUAAUACGGAGGGGGUUAGCGUUGUUCGGAAUUACUGGGCGUAAAGCGCGCGUAGGCGGAUUGGAAAGUUGGGGGUGAAAUCCCGGGGCUCAACCCCGGAACUGCCUUCAAAACUCCCAGUCUAGAGUUCGAGAGAGGUGAGUGGAAUUCCGAGUGUACAGGUGACAAUUCGUAGAUAUUCCGGAAGAACCACCAG
rnacentral:rRNA from 1 species